GACGAACGCUGGCGGCGUGCCUAAUACAUGCAAGUCGAACGCACUCUCGUUUAGAUUGAAGGAGCUUGCUCCUGAUUGAUAAACAUUUGAGUGAGUGGCGGACGGGUGAGUAACACGUGGGUAACCUGCCCUAAAGUGGGGGAUAACAUUUGGAAACAGAUGCUAAUACCGCAUAAAACCUAACACCGCAUGGUGUAGGGUUGAAAGAUGGUUUCGGCUAUCACUUUAGGAUGGACCCGCGGUGCAUUAGUUAGUUGGUGAGGUAAAGGCUCACCAAGACCGUGAUGCAUAGCCGACCUGAGAGGGUAAUCGGCCACACUGGGACUGAGACACGGCCCAGACUCCUACGGGAGGCAGCAGUAGGGAAUCUUCCACAAUGGACGAAAGUCUGAUGGAGCAACGCCGCGUGAGUGAAGAAGGUUUCGGAUCGUAAAACUCUAGUUGUUGGAGAAGAAUGUAUUUGAUAGUAACUGAUCAGGUAGUGACGGUAUCCAACCAGAAAGCCACGGA
rnacentral:rRNA from 1 species